rnacentral:rRNA from 1 species
CCUACGGGUGGCAGCAGUGGGGAAUAUUGGACAAUGGGGGGAACCCUGAUCCAGCCAUGCCGCGUGUGUGAAGAAGGCCCUCGGGUUGUAAAGCACUUUCAGUGAGGAAGAACGCCUGGUGGUUAAUACCCAUCAGGAAAGACAUCACUCACAGAAGAAGCACCGGCUAACUCCGUGCCAGCAGCCGCGGUAAUACGGAGGGUGCGAGCGUUAAUCGGAAUUACUGGGCGUAAAGCGCGCGUAGGUGGCUUGAUAAGCCGGUUGUGAAAGCCCCGGGCUCAACCUGGGAACGGCAUCCGGAACUGUCAAGCUAGAGUGCAGGAGAGGAAGGUAGAAUCCCCGGUGUAGCGGUGAAAUGCGUAGAGAUCGGGAGGAAUACCAGUGGCGAAGGCGGUCUUCUGGACUGACACUGACACUGAGGUGCGAAAGCGUGGGUAGCAAACAGGAUUAGAUACCCCUGUAGUC